GUUAAACAGCGGCAAGGUCACAAGACGAAAAGGUGUGUCGCUGCUGAAAUGUCAUCUAAUGCGGUGGCAAUGAUGAUGAGAUAUCAGGUAUCUUUGCAACAGCCAAUCAAGCAGCAGGAUAAUUGAAUAAUGAAAAGAAGGAAUACAGCCAAUCAGAGAAUUGCAAGCUAGUGGGGAGACUAUAGGAGACAGACUACUGGAGAGACUUGUUCCAGGAGUUCCUGGUCAGUAGGGGACUUCAGUGAUGAUGUGGUUGACAAGGGUUUCACUUCUGCUUUCUUGGUAUAAUUCAGUAGAAAUCAGACACUGAGAAGAACAUGGAACCGCCAGAUUGUGAUGGCCAUGACUUGCAUCAUGGCAAACCUUUCCUAAUGAAUCAUGUACCAGAGCAUUACCAAGCAGGAGACUACCUCCAUCUUGUGUACUCUCACAAACUGGACAUUGUUCUGGAAGAAUAUGUUUGCAUUUAGAAAACUGACAUUCCAUGUGGCUCAAACCUUUAUGAGCUCUGUAUUUUGACAAUGGUGGAAAAUGGUCUUGAGGCUGGUCAUAACACUGCUGAGGCUACCAGGCUGUACAGACAGAUAAGACCCUUGAAAAAAUAUACCUGUCAGAUGAACCAAGGAUGGAAAAACUGAAAUCUGUGACAAAUGUAUUAUUCUGCUUAAAGAGGUAACUGAAAAAGAGAGAGUGGAAAUCAAUAUU